rnacentral:lncRNA from 7 species
AGCUUUCCUGCCAGAGCAGGAAGGAGUGCAGUGCAGGCUGGCUGUUUGAGCCUGGGAUCGCCAGCAAAUCUGGCAGCCCUCAGAGCUGAUAGGCAGUCCAUCUAGAGGUAAUCCCAGCACAGCGCCCCAGGCUGCCCCAAGGGUGAUCCAGGUGCAUUUUGGUGUAGGCUGCUUGUGGAGCGAUGCAGAGAUGUUCAGGCUGCAUUUGUUGUUAUUCUGAAGCCCAGCGAAGCAGCCCCGGUGAGGAGUGAUCCCUGGCUGUGGCAUGUUCCAGCAGACGUGGUGGAAUGUGACAGCGAGGCACACACGCUGCCUGAGCCUCCCUGGGAGAUGGGAGCAGCACUCAUGCUCGCUUGCUGUCCUCGCUGCCUGCAGUCACCCUGCACAGGAGGAGCCCGGAGGUCAUUCCUGUCCCCACAGCAGCAGACAUCACCCGUUGAUGCUGCUCCCAGGUCUCUGGUAACAGAAGGUACGGGUCCCUGGGACUGGCAGAGUCACGGCACUGGGACUGGGCUUUUCUCAGCCUUGCUUGGAACAGAUCUUUAAGAAAUUUAAUUGAAACGUUAGAACUUCUCUGUGGAGGAGAAACAUGCACUGCAUCCAGAAACACUGCAUUUCAGCCCUCUCCUGACGUUUCCAUGGCCUCAGUUAGUGGGAUGAAGCCUUUCUUCGUGGCAGAAUGACACAUGACAGAUUUGCAUCCUUAAAGAUCCUCGCUGAUGGCUGAACUGCUUUGCAUAUAAACGAGACCUAACUUUAACGGCUCAGCUGGUGAAUGUGAAGGGUUUACAGUGCUGGAUCAGGUCUCCAUUCACCACCAACCUCAGGGAACUCUGCUCUGGACUGCUAGAACACAGAUCAGGGAGGUGAUGCUGUUUCUAAGAGACAAGCUGCAGCACACAGGACCCAGCCAGCCUGCCUCCAUCCUACCCAGGACAGCCAGGUUUUGACUGCUAGUGUUCCGUGGCCCUAUGGAUUUGCCAGCUCAUACACAGCUCUGAAAAUGCAUGCACAUCUUCUAUGGACCGUACAGCACCAGACUGGUUGCAUGGAGGGUGAUACUGACAGUGCAGAAGAGGUCUGUCCUGCAUCUUAAGACACUGCCUGUGAUACCUCUGCAGGGCUCUUCUUCCACCUCCACGACCUGUUUGUCUCCAAAUUGCCAAGGGUCAGAGAAAGGCAGCAGAAAGCCAGAUGAGUCUGGCUGAUCUCUGUCACUCCAGUGCCUGUCAGUAUUGGUCCGUGGGUAGUCUUCCAUGGAGAUGUUUGUCCUUGUAUUCCUUUUCACUGGGCCCCUCUGUCUGGUUGACACAUUUCUUCUUGAAGUGGGCUCUUUCUGCCCUGCCUUUGCCAAUGUGCUUUGUUGAGUAAGUGGAAGAAACUGUGAUGAGGGCUUGCUGACCCCAGCCUCACUCGAGCUGUAUGGGAAGGCCCCUUAGGAAAAGGUUUUUUGUGAUAUUUUCAGCUUAACAUUCCAAAUCCUCAAAGGCCUGGAAAAGACUGGUUGGCAGCCAAGCCUUGAGUGUCUAUUAAUCUGCCUGUAUCCUCCGUGUAGGUUUCCCUGUCCAUGGAACAAACCACAAGGGCAUUGUUAAUGAUGUUGCAGGGAUAAGAGAAGUUCUCAACCAAGAGGGAGAUCUCAGGAGCCUUGAAACAGUAUGAAUCCUUGUCUAAAGCAUGAGGAAAGCCUGUUUCUCUAAAGCAGAUGUGGCUGUGUCCUGAAAUCCAAGGACUAGAAAAAUACCUGCGUUCUGUUUAAUCUCUAAGGCAUCACAGAUUCAGAAAAAUACUUAGAGGUCUUCCAAGAAAGCAUUUGUGAAUUUGGGUGUGCAAGCCUGUAAAAGUGUUUAGUUGUCUAGCAAUGGUAGCAUAUGCAGAUAAAGCAUCUUUAUCUUGAAGGGCUGCUUUAACAGUUGUUAUUCCUCCACUGAAGCUGGAAGAAAAGGGAAUGAGUGCUGUGAUCCUAUCAGCUGUGAGAUAAGUAUCUGAUGACACAAAGGCUCUGGGGUGACAUCCUGCACCUGACAACUCUGCAGCAGGUGUUAAGUGCAGAGCUACUGAUGGUAAAAUGCUUCUGAUGCUGCUUAUUGUGAAGGCAGAACCCAACCCAAAACAUCCUCCUUUCUUGAGUUGGGUUUGUUUCAGCUCUUGGUGAUUUCUUAGGUAGCUUGUUAAUUUUGGGGGUUGUGCUGUGACCCUGCAGCAGCAUCAGAGAGAGUUACAGUCUGCAGCAAACAAGCCAUUUUGGCCUUUCAGAGAGGGUAAUGACACUUUGAGAUCCCUCAGUUGUAUUUUUCUCGUUGGCAAAUAAUCAGACCGGGUAUUUCUUUUUUAAUUUAUUUUAAUUAAAAAUACAGGUCUGCAUGC